AAAUACGCGCUUUCUUCACUGCAAGAAGCUGGAAUAUUUUGACGUUCAAUCCCCUCCAUGGAAACAAGUUGCUUACUCACUGCUGCUGCUGCAGUAUGAGUCACCCAGGAAUAUUCUUAGCACAGCCAGAUGACAAUGGGCUCCCAACAGCCAACCAUCCCUGCCAGCUAGCCUGCCCAGUGGCAAGGCAUGAUGGGAGUUGUAGUCCAAAAAUGUUUGGAGGCCAGCUUGGGAAAAGCUGUCUUUAAUAUGAAUAUGUGUGUUCUCGUUUUGUGUUCCUUGACCCCAACGCUUAAGGCUGUGCAAUUUUCAGGAAACACACACCCCAUUCCAGACACAUUCCCUCCACCCUCAAAGAAUUCUGGGCAAUGUAGUUUUCCCUUCACAGAGUUACUGUUCCCAACAACCCUGCACAAACCACAGGGCCCAGGAUUCUCUGAGGGGACAGUGCGGGCGCCCCGCUUCUCCUCAUUGGCUCACAGCACAACUCCUCCCCGUUUGUAUUCCUGACAGGAGAAAGCCCCUUAUCCGAGGCUCCGCUUCCCUCGGGAUGAAGGCCAGCUCUGGCCUGGGAAGGGGCAGGUCGCGGCGGGUGGUUUAUGUGAACAGUUUCGGCAGCCACCGCUGCGGCAAUGUGAUUCGUUAUGGCGGCGGCGGCCACCUGAGGGACCCGGAGGCUUCCUGCCUCUCGGGCGCGUCUCCCGCUGCCUCGCUCUCGGGCAGAAGAGGCUUUCGGAGUGCAGCCGGUCCUCCCUCCGGGGAACGAGGGAGCCCCUGCUUGGGGCUGAAAGCCCCUGGCGAGGCGAGAGCGAAGGGGGUCGGGAGAGGCUGGGAGGAAGGAGGCGAGGCGAAGAGGCCUAGAGCCGAGAGGCUGGUUGGGGUCAAGCCACCGCCGACGCCACGCGAAGGGCGGAGCAGCAAGGCGGAGGCGGAGGCUGCCAACUCCACAGGCUCCGACGGCCAGGAAGAAGCGGGUGGCUGCAAGGAAACUCAAGGAGAUGCAUUUGAAUUUCCUCCUUCCUGGGAAGUUGAUAACAGUGAGAUCAGGCAUCAAAAGAAAGAGUCCACAGUCUGGCUUGGAGUGUGUAAAGUAAUUUCUAAAAUGAUAGAAGAAAAUGGACACUUUAGAAGCAGAUUGCUGUCCUGUAGCGAACUUCCAAGUGAAGUGGGUCUAUUCAAAGUAAAACUUAGUUGAAUACCACCCAGUGGAAUUUACUCCAGGCAGAGAUGUAAAUGGGAAUGUACAAAAUGAGACUUCCUGCAUUGACACUGAUGAAACCAUUUUUGGAUGGGUGUAGGAAACAAAGCGACAAGGAAAUGAAGAUUUACUUCAGGUUUUGCAUUUUAGCUGUUUUCCAGUAAUCCUUUAUCUAUACAGGAGAAACAGAUUCUUAGCAUCAGAGGUACUGGAAUACAAAUACUAUACAUGUUAUGUGGAACAAUUUAUGUGUUUUUCAUGUAAUAGGUUAAUUGUAAUGUAAGUUUGAUUUUGUUUAAAUGUGAUUAAGCAAAUCAGCUUUGCACUUGGGUUUAGGUUUUCAUAAAGGAAUACAAUGCAGUAUGAUUACAAUACAAUAUAAUAUUUUUAAUGUUGAUUUUAUGUGUAUGUACUGUAAUAAUCAGCUUCUCAGAAUAAAGUAUGGAUCUAUGAAGUAAA